UUCUUUCAAGUAUCAGUAGGGUGGGAAGAUUAUCAGGGAGCUUGUGGAGGAUGACAACUGACAUUUACCGAGUGCUUAUUAUCUGUUAGGCUCUUUGUGUAUCUCACCUUGUCACCUUCACCUGUGUACCUCGUGGCUUCUCUUUGUUCCUCUUUCCCUUCAAGGCUCAUCUUGAUCACCUCACCUCUACAUGCUCACCUUGUUCCCCUUUACCUGUACAUACUUCAGGACAAGCCUAGCUGGACUUGAUUUUAUUGUUCACUUUCCAGUGAAAAGGACUGAAGUUUAGUAAAGUUAGGUGAUUUAUGACAGUGCCUGAAUUUGAACUUAUGUCUGCUUGACUUCAGAUCCCCAUGAUUUAACCUUUAUACAGAGUUUCCUCUUGAGCAAGAGAGGGCCAGGAAUUCCAUAUCUCAGGGAGCACAUAUUUACUUAGUACAAAGGUGCGGUAGGCCAAGUCUCCAGGCAGCAGGAGUCCUUACCCAGCCAUGACUUCCUGGGGGACUUCACUAUCCUUCCCUCCUCUGGGCUCAGUUUCCAAAUCUAUAAAAAGCAGGGACUGGACUAGAGCAGCGUCUGCCAACUGGGGCUAGAGGGUCACAUCUGGCCCUGCCUGUCCUGUGGAUGAGAUUUUAGUGACACCCAGCCGCCCUUGCCGCUCCUGUCUGUGGAGGAGACGUGCAGGAUUGAGUAUGGCCUGUAGAGCUGACAGGGUUGCUCCUGCCCUUUACAGACAAAGGCUGGGACGCUGGGCCAGAGGAUCUGGAAGGGCUCUCCCAGGUUUGUUCUGUGGCAUUGUAAGGCCACUUCAGGAACACUGGCUUGUAUCAGGAGAAAUGUCUUUUGUGUCUCUGUAGCUGUGUGACCUCGGGCAAGUUACUCCCCACCAUCGGCCCCAAUUUCUUUACAAGUCACAUGGGGAGUUGGGACUAGAUGACAGCUGAGUUUCCUUCCGGCUCUGAGAGUCUGUGAUUCUAUGUUGUGCUUGUCCCUAGGGUGACAGGAAUACCUGUCAUGUAGUAUUUGCAACAAUGUUAGAGGAUACUGCUGGCUCUGGAAAGCAUGGUAUGUUGUUGGAUACUUUUCCAUUGAAGCUCAGACAAAAGGGACUUGUCAGGAAGACCAUUAAGAAACCUCAACUUGGCUGUGAACUCAUCAUCUGAUGUACUCAAGCGCAUUGCCAAUCUCCUUUUGGGAAAAUUCGGC
rnacentral:lncRNA from 1 species